AUUGAACGCUGGCGGCAGGCCUAACACAUGCAAGUCGAGCGGAUGAAGGGAGCUUGCUCCUGGAUUCAGCGGCGGACGGGUGAGUAAUGCCUAGGAAUAUGCCUGGUAGUGGGGGAUAACGUCUGGAAACGGGCGCUAAUACUGCAUACGUCCUGAGGGUGAAAGUGGGGGAUCUUCGGACUUCACGGUGUGAGAUGAGCCUAGGUCGGAUUAGCUAGUUGGUGGGGUAGAGGCCUACUAAGGCGAUGAUCCGUAACUGGUCUGAGAGGGUGAUCGGCCAGAGUGGGACUGAGAUGCGGCCCAGACUGCGACGGGAGGCAGCAGUGGGGAAUAUUGAAGAAGGGGAGGAAGACUGAUGGAGCAAAGCCGCGUGCGGGAUGAAGGGCUUCGGGUUGUAAAAAGCUUUCGCCGGUGACGAAGCGUGAGGGACGGUAAUGGGUAAAGAAGCAACGGCUAACUACGUG
rnacentral:rRNA from 1 species